UAGGGAAUAUUGGACAAUGGGUGCAAGCCUGAUCCAGCCAUGCCGCGUGCAGGAAGAAGGCCUUCUGGGUUGUAAACUGCUUUUGCCAGGGGAUAAAAAGCCCAUGCGUGGGAAAUUGAAGGUACCUGGUGAAUAAGCCACGGCUAACUACGUGCCAGCAGCCGCGGUAAUACGUAGGUGGCAAGCGUUGUCCGGAUUUAUUGGGUUUAAAGGGUGCGUAGGCGGCUUUCUAAGUCAGUGCUGAAAUAUCCCGGCUUAACCGGGAGGGUGGCAUUGAUACUGGGAAGCUUGAGUAAAGUUGAGGUUGGCGGAAUUGACGGUGUAGCGGUGAAAUGCUUAGAUAUCGUCAAGAACACCUAUUGCGUAGGCAGCUAACUAAGCUUUAACUGACGCUGAGGCACGAAAGUGUGGGGAUCAAACAGG
rnacentral:rRNA from 1 species